GAUUACGGCCAUACCACACUGAAAAUGCCCGAUCUUGGCCGAUCUUGGAAGCUAAAAAGAGUUGGGCUGGGUCAGUACUUGGAUGGGUGACCGCCUGGGAAUACCUGGUGCUGUAAGCA
rnacentral:rRNA from 1 species